AUGAUGUGGUUAAUUCGAUGCAACGCGAAAACCUUACCACCUUGACAUGUACGGAAUCCUUAGAGAUAGAGGAGUGCUCGAAAGAGAGCCGUAACACAGGUGCUGCAUGGCUGUCGUCAGCUCGUGUCGUGAGAUGUUGGGUUAAGUCCCGCAACGAGCGCAACCCUUGUCAUUAGUUGCUACAUUCAGUUGGGCACUCUAAUGAGACUGCCGGUGACAAACCGGAGGAAGGUGGGGAUGACGUCAAGUCCUCAUGGCCCUUAUAGGUGGGGCUACACACGUCAUACAAUGGAUGGUACAAAGGGUCGCCAACCCGCGAGGGGGAGCCAAUCCCAUAAAGCCAUUCGUAGUCCGGAUCGCAGUCUGCAACUCGACUGCGUGAAGUCGGAAUCGCUAGUAAUCGUGGAUCAGAAUGUCACGGUGAAUACGUUCCCGGGUCUU
rnacentral:rRNA from 1 species